CGGACGGGUGAGGAAUACAUCGGAAUCUACCUUUUCGUGGGGGAUAACGUAGGGAAACUUACGCUAAUACCGCAUACGACCUACGGGUGAAAGUGGGGGACCGCAAGGCCUCACGCGAUUAGAUGAGCCGAUGUCCGAUUAGCUAGUUGGCGGGGUAAUGGCCCACCAAGGCGACGAUCGGUAGCUGGUCUGAGAGGAUGAUCAGCCACACUGGAACUGAGACACGGUCCAGACUCCUACGGGAGGCAGCAGUGGGGAAUAUUGGACAAUGGGCGCAAGCCUGAUCCAGCCAUACCGCGUGGGUGAAGAAGGCCUUCGGGUUGUAAAGCCCUUUUGUUGGGAAAGAAAUCCUAUCGGUUAAUAACCGGUGGGGAUGACGGUACCCAAAGAAUAAGCACCGGCUAACUUCGUGCCAGCAGCCGCGGUAAUACGAAGGGUGCAAGCGUUACUCGGAAUUACUGGGCGUAAAGCGUGCGUAGGUGGUGGUUUAAGUCUGCUGUGAAAGCCCUGGGCUCAACCUGGGAAUUGCAGUGGAUACUGGAUCACUAGAGUGUGGUAGAGGGAUGCGGAAUUUCUGGUGUAGCAGUGAAAUGCGUAGAGAUCAGAAGGAACAUCCGUGGCGAAGGCGGCAUCCUGGGCCAACACUGACACUGAGGCACGAAAGCGUGGGGAGCAAACAGGAUUAGACACCCUGGUAGUCCACGCCCUAAACGAUGCGAACUGGAUGUUGGGUGCAACUUGGCACCCAGUAUCGAAGCUAACGCGUUAAGUUCGC
rnacentral:rRNA from 1 species